AACGAACGCUGGCGGCAUGCCUAACACAUGCAAGUCGAACGAGACCUUCGGGUCUAGUGGCGCACGGGUGCGUAACGCGUGGGAACCUGCCCUUAGGUUCGGAAUAACUCCCCGACAGGGGUGCUAAUACCGGAUAAUGUCUUCGGACCAAAGAUUUAUCGCCUUUGGAUGGGCCCGCGUUGGAUUAGCUAGUUGGUAGGGUAAAAGCCUGCCAAGGCGACGAUCCAUAGCUGGUCUGAGAGGGUGGUCAGCCACACUGGGACUGAGACACGGCCCAGACUCCUACGGGAGGCAGCGGUGGGGAAUAUUGGACAAUGGGCGAGAGCCUGAUCCAGCAAUGCCGCGUGAGUGAUGAAGGCCUUAGGGUUGUAAAGCUCUUUUACCCGGGAGGAUAAUGACAGUACCGGGAGAAUAAGCUCCGGCUAACUCCGUG
rnacentral:rRNA from 1 species